rnacentral:lncRNA from 1 species
CUUUGGGAGGCUGAGGCGGGUGGAUCAUCUGAGGUCAGGAGUUUGAGACCACCUUGGCCAACAUGAUGAAACCCUGUCUCUACUCAAAAUACAAAAGUUAGCCAGGCGUGAUGAUGCACACCCAUAGUCCCAGCUACUUGGGAGGCUGAGGCAGGAGAAUUGCUUGAGCUGGGGAGGUGGAGGUUGCAGUGAGCCAAGAUCAUACCAUUGUACUCCUGCCUGGGUGACAGAGUGAGACUGUCUCAAAAAAAAAAAAAAAACCAAAAACCAAAAACAUAUCACAACUGUUUUCCCAUGUUAUUAAAAAUUCCACCAGUAAUGGAAGAGAAUAUUGGGUUCCCUGUGCCCAUGCCAAUAUUGGGCAUUCUCAUUUUUUAGAUAUUUGCCAAUAUGAUAUAUGAAAACUGUCAUGUUAUUGUUUUGAUUUGCAUUUUCCCCAAGCAUCAGCAAGAUUUAAUGGUUUUCACAUUUAAAAAAUUCAUUUUUUAAUUUAUAAUCACCUUGUUUGAUAAUGAGGUUUUCAUGUUUUUAUUAACUGCAUUUCUUUUCCUGCCUAGAUGAAUCUUAGAAUAUUUCACAUUGGUUUAGACAAAUGCUAGUACCAAGGUUUUUUUUUUAAGUCUGUGACAAUUUUAAUGAUUUUUCUUGGUAAUUUUUUCUGUAGAUUCAAGUUCAGAUGGGCAUUUCCCAUUCUGAUAUCGUGUAAAUAUGUGCAGUUUGUUCGUUUUGAAAAACAUGACUUCUUUAAUCCCCUAGAAUGUAGUAUACUAGGUGUUACAUGAGUCUACAAUAUAAUUUUUGUACAGACAAAAAUUUUGCAUUUCUUCUGGAUAUUGCCUGUUCGUACCUUUGCCCAUUUUUUCCCCUUCUGGGUUGUUUACCUUUUCUUCUUCUUGCUUUAUAGGAGUUUUUUAGAUAUCACAAUGGUUAAUCUUUUGUUAUAUGUGUUACACAUAUUUUUCUCCUCAUUUGUUACUUGUCUUUUAAUUUUGUUUAUAGUGUCUUUACAUAGAGGUUUUAAUUUACAUGGUCAGAUCUUUCACAUAAAAAAAUUCUUCAUCUCAAGAUUAUCUUUUAAAAAUUUUCAUAUAUUUUAUGUGAAAAUUUUUUUUUCACACUGAGCUCUGUAGGUUUGUUUGGAAUUUCCUUUUGUGUCUAGUGUAAGGGUAGGGAUCUAAAUUUUUCCUAAAUGCAUAGACUUUUGCCUCUCUCAGUUCACUCACUUGUUCAUAUUUCAAAUGCCACAAGGCUUUCCUGCAUACAUGAGGCCUUUUCCUGUAUUCUCCGUUCUGUUCCAGUGACAGGUCUGUCUGUGUUUAUUCUAUUACCUCCUCUCCCCAUGGCUUUUUAUAGAAGUUUGAUAUCUGGUAGGGCAAAUAUGCUCAUUUUCAAAUUUUUCUUAGCUAUUCUCAUGAAUUUACUGUUUCUGGUGAAUUUUAGAAUUAUUCUAAUGAGUUCUAAGACACAUCCCAUUGAGAUUUUGAUAACAAUUGUGCUAAAUUUAUAGAUGAAUAUGAGAAAGUCAGUUCUCACUAGCAGGUCUUUCCAUCAAGGAGCAUAUUGUAUCUGCUUAUUCUGGAGUUGCCUCUCUGAUAACAGUUUUAACCUAGAUGCUCAUUGUGGCAUUGUUUUGUUCUAAACACAUGUAUUACAAAGAUAGUAUUAGAGUAAAUUAGUUGAGGGAAAAGCCUUACAUCAUCUAUCCCUGUUUUCAUUUCUCUUUUCAUCUUUAAUUUUGGUCUAAGGAGACUUCUCACCACAGAAGACAGCACAUAAAAACUUGCAGCCAUUCUCAGAAGUAUUGGUUUUCUGUUGGGUUGUUGCUUGUGUCAAGUCAGCCAGAAAGAGGUGGAGUAAAACCUGGCCGGCUGAGUAGUACACAUAAUUCAUGUCCUUCCCCCUUAACUACGCAUCAACCUGCAGAGAGUGACUUCUUACUCUUGAGAUGCUCUUUCCUCUUGCUUAAUGGUUCAUGACAAUUCUUUAUUUUCCUCCUAUUACUCUCAGUUUUUAUUUAUUUAUUUAUUUAUUAUUAUUAUUUUUUUUUACUGGCUUAUUCUCCUGUAUCUGGCCAUUAAAUAUUGAUGUUCCACCAAUCAGCCCUAGGGCCUUCUGUCAUUAUUCUUUCCCUAAACAGUCACAGCCAUGUCCAUGGCCUCACUCAUGGGUGAAUCCAACAUGUAUCUCUACCCCAACUUCUGCUGUUGAGUACUCCAUCUGCUAAUAUCUAAUUGCCUACUGGACGUCUCUACUUGGAUGUCUCAAAAGUAUUCUAAAUUCAGCAUUUCCAAGAUUUAUUUCAUACUCUUCCUCCAAAAAUGCUGUUUGCUAUCUCAGUGAAAGGCAUCACCACCCAAGCAGUUGUGCAAGUCAGAAACCUGGGACUUGUCCAUGAUUCUUUCUCUCUUCUCCCCUCCCCCACCAAAUUCAAUCAACUACCAGGUACCAUUGUUUGUUUUUAACCUUCUUUUAUUGUGAGCUAUAACAUACACACAGAAAAAUCAUUUAGCGGUGCAUCUUUUUGUUGUUGUAAUCCACAAAGCAUAACCCUUUCACGAACAUUCAGGUCAUUAAAUAGACCAAUGCCAGCACUCCAGAAAGCCCGCCCUUAACUUCCCCCAAUCAACUAUAUGCAUCCUCCUUCUCAAAAGUGACAUCUGUCCUGACUUUUAUGAGAAUCAUUUUCUUACUUUUCUAACAUCGCACCCAAACUUGGUAGUUUAGUUUUGCUAUUUGAACUUUGUAUAAAUGGAACCAUUUAGUUUGUUUUCUUUACUCAGCUGCUUUCACUCAGUGUCAUUUUGUGAGAUUCACCUGUGUUUUGUUUUUUGUUUUUUGUUUUUUGUUUUUUGUUUUUUUGAGACAGGCUGGAGUGCAGUGGCACAAUCUCGGCUCACUGCAAGCUCUACCUCCCGGGUUCACGCCAUUCUCCUGCCUCAGCCUCCCAAGUAGCUGGGACCAUAGGUACCUGCCACCAUGCCCGGCUAAGUUUUUGUA